rnacentral:misc_RNA from 1 species
GGAGAUUUCAUAAUCCGUAUGCAACUUACCGUAAAGGAGUCGUAAGCGCGAAAACGUGGUUUUGUUUUUGCUAUUUGCGAACGUUUAAUGUGUGUAUAACUCAAAAUGAAUGACUACACCGACAUGAUGGACACCCCAGUACUGAGAAGGAAGAUGAAGAAACCGACUACCCCUAAGGCAGGGCGGAGCAUGCGUGGGAACCCAGAGGGCAACAGCAUAAUGUUCAAAGAUAAGGUGAAACUGUCAACUGCACAUCCAAGCUUAGAUGACAGUGGUUUGUCUACACUGAGGAAGAGAAAAAAGAAGCAAACGGAGGAAGACAUAUAUGCUGAAAUUGAAGAAAAACACAUGAUGAGGAGGUCACAGAGCGCAAACUUUUCCAAUGCCAGUUCCAGUAGUUUAGAGGAAAUGACGCCUGACACCCUCAGUCAGAUCAGUUCUAUAAUGGCUGUUCCUGAUGUGACAAUCAAUUCUACGUUGUCACGCUUUAAGAAGCCUCGCACUGGACGGGGCGAUGUGACCUGGGAGUCAGCCGUCAAUCAUGCUCGUGGGGCUCCAGAUGGAGCAGAAAGGUCCUUCCAUGCCAAGAAGAUCAGCAAAGUUUCCAUUAUAGAAGAGGUCCCUAGUCCUGCUGUGAAACAAGAUUCUCCAACUAAAGAGAACAAACCUAUAAAACCAGAGAAACCUGUCGAGAGGAAGAAAUCAAUAAAGGUUCAGUUGAAGAAUGCAGCAAAUCGCCUUAAGUCUUUAAAAAGUAAAGGCAAGUUGGACACAAGUAGAGAGAGCCGCAAACGCAAGUUGGACAUAUCCCUGCCAGACGAGAGCACAAUUGCCAUGAAGAAACCUAAAGAGAAAGAUAUGUCGUGGAAAGAGCGGAGACAACAGCGGAAGAUGACUAAAAACAACUACGACCUGAUUAUUAAAGCCAAGAAGUUGUGGGAGGAUAUGCGAAGACAUGCCCUGCCUGACGACCAGAGACAGAAGCUGUGCCAGGAGGUGUUCAACAUGGUCAGGGGGAAAGUGCAUGAGAUGUCUAUGGCCCACGAUACAGCGCGUGUGGUCCAGUGUCUGGUGCAGUAUGGCAACCCCGAACACAGGACAGCAGUCAUGGAGGAGAUCAAAGAUGACAUAGUUUCAAUGUGCAAGUCAAAGUAUGCCAAGUUUGUGAUCAGGAAAAUAUUGAAAUAUGGCUCUAAACAGCAGCGCAACUUUAUGUUCAAGACGUUCCAUGGCAAUGUUCGGAAGUUGAUAAGACACAGAGAAGCAGUGGAAAUCUUGGAAUUUGCCUACAACGACUACGCUAACGCUCCCCAGCGCUUGUCUAUGAUGGAGGAGUUCUAUGGACCAAGCUUUACUUUGUUCAAGAAUCACGACACCAAGUCCCUGGAACAGAUCAUGCUGGAGCAGCCGGACAAGAAGGACAUGAUCCUCAGCAACAUGAAGGAGGCUCUCCUGCCCCUCAUUGACAAGGAUAUAUUGGCUCACUCCAUGGUGCACAAGAUCUUCCAUGAUUUCUUCCACUAUGCCACUGACAAGAUGAGAUCGGAAAUGAUUGAGUGUCUCCGUGAACAACUGAUCACGAUGAUACACACACGGGAUGGGUCAAGGGUCGCCAUGUACUGCAUCUGGUUUGGCACUGUCAAGGACCGGAAGGUGAUUCUGAAGAGUCUCAAGACUCACAUCUCACGUAUCAGCCAGGACGAGUAUGGUCACAUGGUCUUGCUGGCGAUCUUCGACGUCGUGGAUGACACAAAGUUUGUCUCCAAAGUCAUUCUAGAGGAGAUGCUGAAGAGUUUGAGCCUGGUGGCAGGGAACCAGUACGGCCGUAAGGUGCUGCUGUACCUGCUGUCUCCGCGGGACCCCCUCCACUUCCACCCUGACAUCGUGCACAUCCUGCAGCGGGGGGACGCCAACACCACCAGUAAGAAAGAUGGUCACACGCGUCAUCGGGAGUUGCUGGGUUUUGUGUCCAAACCCCUGCUGCAGUACAUCGUUGACAACGCCGCCAACCUUGCCAUCAACAACGCCGCGCUGCUGCUGAUACUGGGCAUCAUCACACAUGCUAAAGGAGACCCCUCGGAUGCUAUGACAGCCAUUGCUAACAUCGCUGCCCAGCCGUUCUCCGCGUCCAAGGGAGAGAACCAGCAUAUGGUGGAGCACCCUGCCGGCCACCUGACACUCAAGAGGCUGAUCCUCAACGACAAGGAGCGGAGCACGGAGGAUGAGUCAGCAGUGCUCUUCUCCAACAUACUCCUGUCAGCCCUGGCAGAGGGAACUCUCAAGUCCUGGGCGGCCUGCAACAGAGGCUGCUUCACCCUCAUCAGCCUGCUGGAGUUGGAUGACAUUGAGGUGACGACACUUGUGAGGCAGCAGCUGAGUGGCAUCAAGAAGUCGCUGCGGAAGAUGACGUUCAAGGGGGCACAGAUACUGCUGCAGAAACUGGAGGGGAUGUCGUCACCGCCGAGGCCCCAGAUGAUUGACUUGUAAGGAGGGCUAUAGACAUGAUCGACAACCAGCAGAUGUACGACUUAAAGAGGAGAUGGAGACUUGAUUGACAAUCAGCAUAUGAUUGCUUGUGAUGGGAGCCAUAGUCCUCCUUGACAAAAUGCAGAUGUUCGACUUGUGAGGAGAGCUAUAGACCUCACAGACACCAAGCAGAUGUUCACCUUGUGGGGAGAGCUACAAACUCUGCCCACCAAGUGAUCCUAAUCACGUAUCACCAGCAGUCAGCAUCCUGUUUUAACCUGGAACCUCAGGGUGGCUAUGUAGUUAUGGAUGAUGUGCCAGUGGAGGUCCACUGUGAGGUGGAAUUGGUCGGAACUUAAAGGUGCUCUGGAGUACUAUCAAAAUCCUUCUAUUUUCUAUGAUCUAAAAUGGUAACCUGGCUUAAUCAGAUGUCAUCCCUGCUUAUCUAUAGGCAAUAGUCACGGACAGAGGUGGGGAGGGUUGGUUGUAUGACCCUCCUUGUUCUCACACUCCUUACAUGUCCACCUAUGUUCCAUCAACCAGUUUCUUUGGUUCUUUUCGUGACUUGGGUUAUAUGUACCUACUCCUUUUUUAAAAUGCUGUUUGCUUUAGUAGCCGAGGACAGUUUCACUUGGGAAAAUUGAUGAUCAUUCUUACCUGCUUGUCAAGCUGUAUAACCAAGUUUGCGUGCUUUCUGAUGAGAGAUGUCGUGAUUUAGAGGAAUAUGCCAUAUUGCCGCGAGGCAUUUAACUGUAUGAGAGCAUUUUUUCAACACUGUAUGCUCCUGUGUCAGGAUGUUCUUCAUCUUAAUCAUAUACUACUCAAAAGAAGUUAAGGAUCACCUGAUUCUUUCAUAUUACUAUAGUUAAUCUCUCAUGUCAUUACAGAUUAACUUUCCCAUUAUGAAAGAAUCGGGUGAUCCUUAACUUCUUUUGAGUAGUAUAUCUGUAUUGUUUAAUUUAUGUUUCACUCAUUCUUUAACCAAACAUGUUGAUGUACAUGGAUUGGCUUUGAACAGAUGUGUAUUCAAUCUGUGUGCAUCUAUAUCUUGUACAUAUAAACAAAUGGCCAUAAAGGAUACCUGUUAUUUUAGUGUUGAAACAUUUUAAAGCAGGUGUUGACAAAUGGAGUUUUACCUUCUACAUAUGUUAUCAAUUGGAGAUGUGAUGAGUAACAAGAGGAUUGUACACACAGAAUCAGUUUUAAAAUUAAAAUUGAAUUUGAAAUUCCCUUACUGAUUUAGAAUCUGUUGUAUAGACUAUUUGGAUGAGUGCCAGGAAUGUUGAUCUUAUCCGAAUAAAUUAUUGUUACUGUAUGUGCCAUGGUAAGUGCUUUAGGUGCUUAGGAACUUGACAGGGGGCGCUUUGUAAAACCAUACAGAAAGUUACAUUUCCUUACAGGGACUGAACGGUAGUGACCACUUCUUUGAUAAUUGUUACUUUGUAAUUUCACAUCCGUUCUUUCUGAACAAAAGCUGUCAUAGACACAAGAAGAUAUGACUACUGUAAAUAUUCAGUCUCAGCCAGGGGCAUUUAUAAGGAAGUUGGUAGUGGCACUUCAUACAAUAUACUUUUUUAAAAACAAUGUUUGAUUCUGUUGAUACAUGUUUCCAUUUUAUGAUAACUGUGCCAUGUAUUUAAAUGUUGUUUGUAGUUUCAUGAAAUCUUUGUUCCGGGUUAGAAUUGGCCCCCACAAACAUAUGCUUGUCAUUUAAUUACAGACUGCAGUCAUACAGCUGGAAUUUCACUUAGAGCAGUCAUGAACAGACAAACUAACAAACAUAUAGUAAUUAUUAUUUGGAAUAGUCAUUGGAAUAAAUGAUUAUGGUUUGUAGUCUUUGUAUUUAAAUGGAAUUGUCUGGAUUAACAAUUUUGUGGCUGAAUACGGAGAUGUGUCCUUUUGUAUAUACAUGUACGUUGUAUAUAGAUGGGCCUAACAGUGUCUGGGCUAACAAGGUUUCCCUGAACUUGUACCUCUAUGAUAUUGUCAUCUUGUAGUAGGAUAAUACCUGUUAACAUGUACAGAAAAUGUAAAUAUAUGUUGUGAAACAUUC